GUGCUUACUUAGGCAGUACACAUACUAAAACUGGAACAAUACAGAGAAGAUGAGCAU
ensembl:snRNA U6 U6 spliceosomal RNA